UACGAAGGGGCUAGCGUUGCUCGGAAUCACUGGGCGUAAAGCGCACGUAGGCGGAUUGCUAAGUCAGGGUGAAAUCCUGGAGCUCAACUCCAGAACUGCCUUUGAUACUGAGGAUCUUGAGUUCGGGAGAGGUGAGUGGAACUGCGAGUGUAGAGGUGAAAUUCGUAGAUAUUCGCAAGAACACCAGUGGCGAAGGCGGCUCACUGGCCCGAUACUGACGCUGAGGCACGAAAGCGUGGGGAGCA
rnacentral:rRNA from 1 species